GCCUUGGUGGCGUAGUGGUAGUACGCGCCUCCCCAUCAUGGAUGAAACACGGGUCCGAUUCCUACCUGAGGCC